AACUAACGCUCUCGCAACGCUACUCUGUUUACCAGGUCAGGUCCGGAAGGAAGCAGCCAGAGCAGACGACGUGUGUGCCGGGAUGUAGCUGGCAGGG
rnacentral:SRP_RNA from 1 species